GACGAAGGGGGCUAGCGUUGUUCGGAAUUACUGGGCGUAAAGCGCUCGUAGGCGGUCUUUCAAGUCAGGAGUGAAAGCCCCGGGCUCAACCCGGGAAUAGCUCUUGAUACUGUUGGACUUGAGUCCGGGAGAGGAUAGUGGAAUUCCCAGUGUAGAGGUGAAAUUCGUAGAUAUUGGGAAGAACACCAGUGGCGAAGGCGGCUAUCUGGACCGGUACUGACGCUGAGGCGCGAAAGCGUGGGGAGCAAACAGG
rnacentral:rRNA from 1 species